UUCUUAUCCAGAGAGGCGGAGGGACUGGCCCGAUGAAGCCCGGCAACCACCAAGGUGACUUGGAAAAGGUGCCAAUUCCUGCAAAGUGUGAUGCUUUGAUAGAUGAGGG
rnacentral:ncRNA from 2 species